GGAGGGGUGGCCGAGCGGACGAAGGCAGCAGUCUUGAAAACUGCAGUACCCUUCGCAGGGUACCGGGGGUUCGAAUCCCUCCCCCUCCG
rnacentral:tRNA from 1 species